rnacentral:rRNA from 1 species
AUUCCUUGUCGGGUAAGUUCCGACCUGCACGAAUGGAGCAACGACCUCUCCGCUGUCUCUACUAUGAACUCGGCGAAAUUGCACUACGAGUAAAGAUGCUCGUUACGCGCAGCAGGACGGAAAGACCCCGGGACCUUUACUAUAGCUUGGUAUUGGUGUUCGGUACGGCUUGUGUAGGAUAGGUGGGAGACUGUGAAGCAGCCACGCCAGUGGUUGUGGAGUCAUCGUUGAAAUACCACUCUGGUCGUUCUGGAUGUCUAACUUCGGUCCGUGAUCCGGACCGGGGACAGUGCCUGGUGGGUAGUUUAACUGGGGCGGUUGCCUCCUAAAAUGUAACGGAGGCGCCCAAAGGUUCCCUCAGGCUGGUUGGCAAUCAGCCGUCGAGUGCAAUGACACAAGGGAGCUUGACUGCGAGACAGACAUGUCGAGCAGGUACGAAAGU